UACAGAGGUCUCAAGCGUUGUUCGGAUUCAUUGGGCGUAAAGGGUGCGUAGGCGGCGCGGUAAGUCGGGUGUGAAAUCUCGGAGCUUAACUCCGAAACUGCAUUCGAUACUGCCGUGCUUGAGGACUGGAGAGGAGACUGGAAUUUACGGUGUAGCGGUGAAAUGCGUAGAUAUCAUUUGGAACGCCAAUGGUGAAAACAGGUUGCUGGGGCUGUGCUGACGCUGAGACACGAAAGCCAGGGGAGCAAACGGG
rnacentral:rRNA from 1 species